CCUACGGGAGGCUGCAGUGGGGGAUAUUGCACAAUGGGGGGAACCCUGAUGCAGCGACGCCGCGUGGGUGAAGAAGCGCCCCGGCGCGUAAAGCCCUGUCAGCAGGGAAGAAAAUGACGGUACCUGAAGAAGAAGCCCCGGCUAACUACGUGCCAGCAGCCGCGGUAAUACGUAGGGGGCAAGCGUUAUCCGGAUUUACUGGGUGUAAAGGGAGCGUAGGUGGCAAGGCAAGUCAGAUGUGAAAACCCGGGGCCCAACCCCGGGAGUGCAUUUGAAACUGUCUGGCUAGAGUGCAGGAGAGGUAAGUGGAAUGCCUGGUGUAGCGGUGAAAUGCAUAGAUAUUAGGAGGAACACCAGUGGCGAAGGCGGCUUACUGGACUGUAACUGACACUGAGGCUCGAAAGCGUGGGGAGCAAACAGGAUUAGAUACCCCUGUAGUC
rnacentral:rRNA from 1 species